rnacentral:rRNA from 1 species
UACGUAGGGGCAAGCGUUAUCCGGAAUUAUUGGGCGUAAAAGAGUGCGUAGGUGGUUACCUAAGCGCAAGGUUUAAUCUUGAGGCUCAACCUCAUUUUGCCUUGCGAACUGGGCUACUUGAGUGCAGGAGGGGAAAGCGGAAUUCCUAGUGUAGCGGUGAAAUGCGUAGAUAUUAGGAAGAACACCGGUGGCGAAGGCGGCUUUCUGGACUGUAACUGACACUGAGGCACGAAAGCGUGGGGAGCAAACAGGAUUAGAUACCCUGGUAGUCCCUGAG